rnacentral:rRNA from 1 species
AUUGAACGCUGGCGGCAGGCCUAACACAUGCAAGUCGAGCGGAUGAAGGGAGCUUGCUCCUGGAUUCAGCGGCGGACGGGUGAGUAAUGCCUAGGAAUCUGCCUGGUAGUGGGGGAUAACGUCCGGAAACGGGCGCUAAUACCGCAUACGUCCUGAGGGGAAAAGUGGGGGAUCUUCGGACCUCACGCUAUCAGAGGAGCCUAGGUCGGAUUAGCUAGUUGGUGGGGUAAAGGCCUACCAAGGCGACGAUCCGUAACUGGUCUGAGAGGAUGAUCAGUCACACUGGAACUGAGACACGGUCCAGACUCCUACGGGAGGCAGCAGUGGGGAAUAUUGGACAAUGGGCGAAAGCCUGAUCCAGCCAUGCCGCGUGUGUGAAGAAGGUCUUCGGAUUGUAAAGCACUUUAAGUUGGGAGGAAGGGCAGUAAGUUAAUACCUUGCUGUUUUGACGUUACCAACAGAAUAAGCACCGGCUAACUUCGUG